UACGUAGGUGGCGAGCGUUGUCCGGAUUUACUGGGCGUAAAGGGCUCGUAGGCGGCCAACUAAGUCGGAUGUGAAAUCCCCAGGCUCAACUUGGGAACUGCAUCCGAUACUGGAUGGCUUGAAUUCGGGAGAGGGAUGCAGAAUUCCAGGUGUAGCGGUGAAAUGCGUAGAUAUCUGGAGGAAUACCGGUGGCGAAGGCGGCAUCCUGGACCGACAUUGACGCUGAGGAGCGAAAGCUAGGGGAGCAAACGGG
rnacentral:rRNA from 1 species